rnacentral:rRNA from 1 species
GACGAACGCUGGCGGCGUGCUUAACACAUGCAAGUCGAACGCUGAAGCUCAGCUUUUGUUGGGUGGAUGAGUGGCGAACGGGUGAGUAACACGUGAGUAACCUGCCUCCUUCUUUGGGAUAACGCCCGGAAACGGGUGCUAAUACUGGAUAUUCACUGGUCUUCGCAUGGGGGUUGGUGGAUAGGGUUUUUCUGGUGGGGGAUGGGCUCGCGGCCUAUCAGCUUGUUGGUGGGGUGAUGGCCUACCAAGGCUUUGACGGGUAGCCGGCCUGAGAGGGUGACCGGUCACAGUGGGACUGAGAUACGGCCCAGACUCCUACGGGAGGCAGCAGUGGGGAAUAUUGCACAAUGGGCGCAAGCCUGAUGCAGCGACGCCGCGUGAGGGAUGGAGGCCUUCGGGUUGUGAACCUCUUUCGCUCAUGGUCAAGCCGCAACAAUGGUUGUGGUGAGGGUAGUGGGUAAAGAAGCGCCGGCUAACUACGUG